GCGACGUUAGCUCAGUUGGAUCAGAGCACCGGUUUGCGAUGCCGGAGGUCGAAGGUUCGAAUCCUUCACGUCGCACCA
rnacentral:tRNA from 1 species